rnacentral:rRNA from 1 species
GUCAAACCUAAAGGCGAAAUGAAAGUGAAGGAAACUUCCGUUUCUGAGGGAGGAUGAGUCGGUUACCCGCAAGGGGCCGCUCCGCACUCCCGGGGCGUCUCUUUCUCAUUGCGAGUGGAGGCGCACCCAGAGCGUACACGCUGAUACCCGAAAGAUGGUGAACUAUGCCUGGCCAGGACGAAGCCAGGGGAAACCCUGGUGGAGGUCCGCAGCGAUUCUGACGUGCAAAUCGAUCGUCGGAGCUGGGUAUAGGGGCGAAAGACCAAUCGAACCAUCUAGUAGCUGGUUCCCUCCGAAGUUUCCCUCAGGAUAGCUUGCGCUCAUGCGAACGAGUCUCAUCCGGUAGAGCGAAUGAUUAGAGGCCUUGGGGUCGAAACGACCUCAACCUAUUCUCAAACUCCAAAUAGAUGAGAACUCCGGCUUCCUUGAAACAUUUCUAAUGAAGCCGGGGGCUGGGAUCAGAGUGCCAAGUGGGCCAAUUUUGGUAAGCAGAACUGGCGCUGUGGG